CUGGCAACCCUCUAAAAGUCCACCUAGAGGCCACUCUGUGAGAGACACUCAAGCACCAUGCUAACUAGCCAGCUUCAAGUGUCUCAAGUGUCCAGCUUAAAGUGGAUCUACCAGAUGGAUCUACCAGGAGAGACUCAGGCAUCACUCUGUCUGAAGUCAGUGGCAGCUGCAGCUAUGAGCACCUUUGAAAUAAUUACUCUGAGUCAAUAAAUCUCACAGGAUUUACUUGA